rnacentral:sRNA from 1 species
CAUGACAUCUAGUCAUAUUUGACUCCAAAAAACUAACCAAGCUUCUUCUUGCUUCUCAAACCUAUGAUAGUGUAGCCGUAAUCCGUAUGAGUCUUUGUCUUUGUAUCUUCUAACAAGGAUACAAUAUUUAGGCUUUUAAGAUCUGGUUGCGAAUCUGGUUGUUAUACUCACUCACACACAUGAAAUCUAGUCAUAUUUCACUCCAAAACACUAAUCAACCUUCUUCUUGCUUCUCAAAGCUUUGAUGGUGUAGCCGUAGUCCAAAUGAAUCGUUGGCUUUGUAUCUUCUAACAAGGAAACAAUACUUAGGCUUUUAAGAUCCGAUCGAUGUUCUAGUU